rnacentral:rRNA from 1 species
CGCCUGGGGAGUGCGGCCGCAAGGUUAAAACUCAAAUGAAUUGACGGGGGCCCGCACAAGCGGUGGAGCAUGUGGUUUAAUUCGACGCAACGCGAAGAACCUUACCUGGCCUUGACAUCCAGAGAGCUUUCCAGAGAUGGAUUGGUGCCUUCGGGAACUCUGAGACAGGUGCUGCAUGGCCGUCGUCAGCUCGUGUCGUGAGAUGUUGGGUUAAGUCCCGUAACGAGCGCAACCCCUAUCCCUGGUUGCUAGCAGGUAAUGCUGAGAACUCCAGGGAGACUGCCGGUGACAAACCGGAGGAAGGUGGGGAUGACGUCAGGUCAUCAUGGCCCUUACGGCCAGGGCUACACACGUGCUACAAUGGCGCGUACAGAGGGCUGCCAACUCGCGAGAGUGAGCCAAUCCCUUAAAACGCGUCGUAGUCCGGAUCGGAGUCUGCAACUCGACUCCGUGAAGUCGGAAUCGCUAGUAAUCGCGAAUCAGAAUGUCGCGGUGAAUACGUUCCCGGGCCUUGUACACACCGCCCGUCACACCAUGGGAGUGGAUUGCACCAGAAGUAGUUAGUCUAACCUUCGGGAGGACGAUUACCACGGUGUGGUUCAUGACUGGGGUGAAGUCGUAACAAGGUAACCGUA